rnacentral:ncRNA from 1 species
UAAAAAAAUGAUAAGAACAUGAUGUUGGUUCAGAUUAAACGCUAAAUAAGGACAUGACACAUGCAAAUCAAACGUUUAUUAUAAAAAAGAUAAUAAAUAUGUGGUGUAUACGUGAGUAAUUAUUAGGAAUUUAGAACUAUAAGAUAAGUUAAAUGCUUAAUAAAUAAAAAAAUGAAUAAUAAUAUAUUAUUUGCUUAUAGUCAAGCCAAUAAUGGUUUAGGUAGUAGGUAGAGUAAGAGUUUACCUAGCCAACGAUCCAUAAUCGGUAAUGAAAGUUAGAACGAUCACGUUGACUCUGAGACAUAGUCAAUAUCUAAAUGAUACAGCAGUGAGGAAUAUUGGGCAAUGAUCGAAAGAUUGACCCAGUUACUUAUUAGGAUGAUAUAUAUAUAUAUAUAUAUAAUUAAUUAAUUAAUUAUAUAUAUAUAUAUAUAUAUAAUUAAUUAAUUAAUUAUAUAAAAAAUAAAAUUAUAUAAAUUGAUUAAAAAUAAAAUCCAUAAAUAGUGAAAAUAAUGAUAUUAGCUACCAUAAUAAUAAAUGGAUAAAUGUAAAAAUUUAUUUUAAUAGUCCUAACCAAAAUUUGUGCCAGCAGCUGCGGUAAGACAAUGGGGGCUAGCGUUAAUCAUAAUGGCUUAAAGGGUCCGUAGAAUGAUAAAUAAAAAUUAGAGUUAAUAAAUUUAAUUAAAGAAUUAUAAUAGUAAGGAUGAAAUGAUAAUAAUCAUUAUAAGACUGGUAUGUGUGAAGGUAUUAAUUAAAUAUUAACUGACAUUGAGGGACGAAAGCUAGAGUAUCAAUACGGAUUCGAUACCCGAGUAGUUCUAGCUGUAAACAAUGAACACCAUUAAAAAAAUAAUAAAUGAAAAUGCAAGUGUUCCGCCUGAAGAGUACGUUCGCAAGAAUGAAACUCAAGACAAUAGACGGUUACAGACUUAAGCAGUGGAGCAUGUUAUUUAAUUCGAUAAUCCCCGACUAACCUUACCAUAUUUUGAAUAUUAUAUUUAUUAUUAAUAAAUAUAAUACAGGCGUUACAUCGUUGUCUUCAGUUCGUGCCGCAAGGUCUUAGAUUAAGUUCAUUAACGAACAUAACUCCAUAUAUAUAUUAAUUUUUAUUAUAUAUAAUAUUUAUACCAUUUUGGUAAAAUGAAAGGAAUUAAGACAAAUCAUGAUGAUCCUUAUAAUAUGGGUAAUAGACGUGCUAUAAUAAAAUGAUAACAAAGUUAUAUAAUUAAUAAUAAUAUAAAUUAAUAACAUAAAACAUUUUAAUCUUUAAUAUAUUUAUAUAUUAUAUAUAGUAUGGAUUAUAAUCUGAAAUUCGAUUAUAUGAAAAAAGAAUUGCUAGUAAUACGUAAAUUAGUAUGUUACGGUGAAUACUCUAACUGUUUCGCACUAAUCACUCAUCACGCGUUGAAACAUAAUAUUAUCCUAAUAUAUAUUAUUAUAUAUAUUAUUAUUUUUUAUUAAAUUUAUUUAAUUAUUUAAUAUAUAUAUAUAAGAAAUAUUAUGAAUUAAUGCGAAGUUGAAAUACAGUUACCGUAGGGGAACCUGCGGUGGGCUUAUUAUAAU